GGCUACCUUCCAUAGGAAGAGACUCAUCCUUAGAUGCACUCCUAUCCUCUAGAUCCAUCCAGUGUGUAGACACCGAUCGGCUCUCAUUGAAACAAAUGAUACAGAUCGAUCGUCACUGCCUCAGGGUGUAAGAGGAUCUUCAAACUCUAAUGUCCUGACAACUAUGGAUAGAGAUUGCCAUGGAUCGCACAUGCUCUCCC
rnacentral:lncRNA from 1 species